rnacentral:rRNA from 1 species
AGCAAUCCCUGAGUACAGUGGCGUACGGGUGAGUAACACGUGGAUGAUCUACCCCUUAGUUUGGAAUAACCAUGGGAAACCGUGGCUAAUACCGGAUAAGCUCGAGAGAGGAAAGCAGCAAUGCGCUGAGGGAGGAGUCCGCGGCCGAUUAGCUAGUUGGUGGGGUAAAAGCCCACCAAGGCAAAGAUCGGUAGCCGGCCUGAGAGGGCACACGGCCACACUGGCACUGAAACACGGGCCAGACUCCUACGGGAGGCAGCAGUGGGGAAUCUUGCACAAUGGGGGAAACCCUGAUGCAGCGACGCCGCGUGAGCGAUGAAGCCCUUCGGGGUGUAAAGCUCUUUCGGCAGGGAAGAUAGUGACGGUACCUGCAGAAGCAGCUGCGGCUAACUACGUGCCAGCAGCCGCGGUAAUACGUAGGCAGCAAGCGUUGUUCGGAGUUACUGGGCGUAAAGGGUGUGUAGGCGGUUUUUUAAGUUUGGUGUGAAAUCUCCCGGCUCAACUGGGAGGGUGCGCCGAAUACUGAAAGACUAGAGUGCGGGAGAGGAAAGUGGAAUUCCUGGUGUAGCGGUGAAAUGCGUAGAUAUCAGGAGGAACACCGGUGGUGUAGACGGCUUUCUGGACCGUAACUGACGCUGAGACACGAAAGCGUGGGUAGCAAACAGGAUUAGAUACCCUGGUAGUCCACGCCCUAAACGAUGCAUAUUUGGUGUGGGCAGUUCAUUCUGUCCGUGCCGGAGCUAACGCGUUAAAUAUGCCGCCUGGGGAGUACAGUCGCAAGGCUG